rnacentral:rRNA from 1 species
UACGUAGGGGGCAAGCGUUGUCCGGAAUCAUUGGGCGUAAAGAGCGUGUAGGCGGCCCGAUAAGUCCGCUGUGAAAGUCCAGGGCUCAACCCUGGAAUGCCGGUGGAUACUGUCGGGCUCGAAUCCGGAAGAGGUGAGUGGAAUUCCUGGUGUAGCGGUGAAAUGCGCAGAUAUCCGGAGGAACAUCGAUGGCGAAGGCAGCCGCCUGGGCCACAACUGACACUGAGGUACGAAAGCGUGGGGAGCAAACAGG